rnacentral:rRNA from 1 species
AAUGGUGGACAAUGGGCGAAAGCCUGAUCCAGCAAUGCCGCGUGCAGGAUGAAGGACCUCGGGUUGUAACCUGAUUUCGUACGGAACGAAAAGCGUCGGGGUAAUACCCUGGAGCCUAGACGGUACAGUAUGAAAAAGCACCGGCUAGCUAAGUGGCAGCAGCAGCGGUAAUACGUAGGGGGCAAGCGUUAAUCGGAAUGACUGGGCGUAAAGCGUGCGCAGGCGGUUUUGUAAGACAGAGGUGAUAUCCCCGGGCUCAACCUGGGAACUGCCUUUGUGACUGCAAGGCUAGAGUACGGCAGAGGGGGGUGGAAUUCCGCGUGUAGCAGUGAAAUGCGUAGAUAUGCUGAGGAACACCGAUGGCGAAGGCAACCCCCUGGGCCUGUACUGACGCUCAUGCACGAAAGCGUGGGGAGCAAACA